GCCUGUGUGGCUCAGUUGGUUAAGCCUCUGACUUCAGCUCAGGUAAUGAUCUCAUGGUUCGUGGGUUUGAGUCCCACGUCGGGCU
rfam:Felis catus breed Abyssinian Contig208709.1, whole genome shotgun sequence. [26-MAY-2016]